rnacentral:rRNA from 1 species
CCUACGGGAGGCAGCAGUGGGGAAUAUUGCGCAAUGGGCGAAAGCCUGACGCAGCGACGCCGCGUGAGGGAUGAAGGUCUUCGGAUCGUAAACCUCUGUCAGCAGGGAAGAACGGUCACUGUGCUAAUCAGCAGUGAAUUGACGGUACCUGCAAAGGAAGCACCGGCUAACUCCGUGCCAGCAGCCGCGGUAAUACGGAGGGUGCGAGCGUUAAUCGGAAUUACUGGGCGUAAAGCGCUCGUAGGCGGUAUGUCAAGUCAAGGGUGAAAUCCCCGCGCUCAACGUGGGAACUGCCUUUGAAACUGGCAAACUGGAGUGUGGGAGAGGAUAGUAGAAUUCCAGGUGUAGGAGUGAAAUGCGUAGAGAUCUGGAGGAACAUCAGUGGCGAAGGCGACUAUCUGGCACAUAACUGACGCUGAGGAGCGAAAGCGUGGGUAGCAAACAGGAUUAGAUACCCUUGUAGUC